UAGGGAAUCUUCGGCAAUGGGGGGAACCCUGACCGAGCAACGCCGCGUGAGUGAAGAAGGUUUUCGGAUCGUAAAGCUCUGUUGUUAAGGAAGAACGAGUGUGAGAAUGGAAAGUUCAUGCUGUGACGGUACUUAACCAGAAAGGGACGGCUAACUACGUGCCAGCAGCCGCGGUAAUACGUAGGUCCCGAGCGUUGUCCGGAUUUAUUGGGCGUAAAGCGAGCGCAGGCGGUUAGAAAAGUCUGAAGUGAAAGGCAGUGGCUCAACCAAUGUAGGCUUUGGAAACGGUGUAACUGGAGUGCAGAAGGGGAGAGUGGAAUUCCAUGUGUAGCGGUGAAAUGCGUAGAUAUAUGGAGGAACACCGGUGGCGAAAGCGGCUCUCUGGUCUGUAACUGACGCUGAGGCUCGAAAGCGUGGGGAGCGAACAGG
rnacentral:rRNA from 1 species